GGGUAACCUGCCCAAGAGAUCGGGAUAACACCUGGAAACAGAUGCUAAUACCGGAUAACAACAGAUGAUGCCUAUCAACUGUUUAAAAGAUGGUUAUGCUAUCACUCUUGGAUGGACCUGCGGUGCAUUAGCUAGUUGGUAGGGUAACGGCCUACCAAGGCGAUGAUGCAUAGCCGAGUUGAGAGACUGGUCGGCCACAUUGGGACUGAGACACGGCCCAAACUCCUACGGGAGGCAGCAGUC
rnacentral:rRNA from 1 species